AAACUCGAUAAGUAGCGUGAAUUGAAGACGCUUGAACGUUAAACUUUCGAACGCACAUUGUGCCGUAGGAGUCCUACCCUGCAGCAUACCUGGUUGAGGGUCGUGAUCAAAAACAGCAGGACUAUGACUGUAAUAGAAAUAGCUGAUGAACCACGAGUUCGGUCUACCGCCUCUGGCUGAACGUGUUUUGCCAUAAUGUUAGAGGACAGUCGCUUGCACGAGAAUUGCCUACCACAUAGAUGAUCUAUUAGCUGAAGCAAUAGGUCUCGGUCACCGGAUAUCAUGCUUAUAUACUACUCUGUGGCGUCUGAGAUACAGCUAAUGGGUUUCAUGCGUGUCUGGUAUCGAGAGUAUUCGCUCUCCCGACCUUCAACUCAGGUGUGAUUACCCGCUGAACUUA
rnacentral:misc_RNA from 1 species